UUUGUGUGUGUGUGUGUGUGUGUGUGUGUGUGUGUCUCCACACACACACACACACCCCUACGCCAGAAG